rnacentral:rRNA from 1 species
GAAAUUCCAAUCGAACCUGGAGAUAGCUGGUUCUCUCCGAAAUAGCUUUAGGGCUAGCCUCAAGUGAUGAUUAUUGGAGGUAGAGCACUGUUUGGACGAGGGGCCCCUCUCGGGUUACCGAAUUCAGACAAACUCCGAAUGCCAAUUAAUUUAACUUGGGAGUCAGAACAUGGGUGAUAAGGUCCGUGUUCGAAAGGGAAACAGCCCAGACCACCAGCUAAGGUCCCAAAAUAUAUGUUAAGUGGAAAAGGAUGUGGCGUUGCCCAGACAACUAGGAUGUUGGCUUAGAAGCAGCCAUCAUUUAAAGAGUGCGUAAUAGCUCACUAGUCGAGUGACACUGCGCCGAAAAUGUACCGGGGCUAAACAUAUUACCGAAGCUGUGGAUUGUCCUUUGGACAAUGGUAGGAGAGCGUUCUAAGGGCGUUGAAGCAUGAUCGUAAGGACAUGUGGAGCGCUUAGAAGUGAGAAUGCCGGUGUGAGUAGCGAAAGACGGGUGAGAAUCCCGUCCACCGAUUGACUAAGGUUUCCAGAGGAAGGCUCGUCCGCUCUGGGUUAGUCGGGUCCUAAGCUGAGGCCGACAGGCGUAGGCGAUGGAUAACAGGUUGAUAUUCCUGUACCACCUAUAAUCGUUUUAAUCGAUGGGGGGACGCAGUAGGAUAGGCGAAGCGUGCGAUUGGAUUGCACGUCUAAGCAGUAAGGCUGAGUAUUAGGCAAAUCCGGUACUCGUUAAGGCUGAGCUGUGAUGGGGAGAAGACAUUGUGUCUUCGAGUCGUUGAUUUCACACUGCCGAGAAAAGCCUCUAGAUAGAAAAUAGGUGCCCGUACCGCAAACCGACACAGGUAGUCAAGAUGAGAAUUCUAAGGUGAGCGAGCGAACUCUCGUUAAGGAACUCGGCAAAAUGACCCCGUAACUUCGGGAGAAGGGGUGCUCUUUAGGGUUAACGCCCAGAAGAGCCGCAGUGAAUAGGCCCAAGCGACUGUUUAUCAAAAACACAGGUCUCUGCUAAACCGUAAGGUGAUGUAUAGGGGCUGACGCCUGCCCGGUGCUGGAAGGUUAAGAGGAGUGGUUAGCUUCUGCGAAGCUACGAAUCGAAGCCCCAGUAAACGGCGGCCGUAACUAUAACGGUCCUAAGGUAGCGAAAUUCCUUGUCGGGUAAGUUCCGACCCGCACGAAAGGCGUAACGAUUUGGGCACUGUCUCAACGAGAGACUCGGUGAAAUCAUAGUACCUGUGAAGAUGCAGGUUACCCGCGACAGGACGGAAAGACCCCGUGGAGCUUUACUGUAGCCUGAUAUUGAAAUUCGGCACAGCUUGUACAGGAUAGGUAGGAGCCUUUGAAACGUGAGCGCUAGCUUACGUGGAGGCGCUGGUGGGAUACUACCCUAGCUGUGUUGGCUUUCUAACCCGCACCACUUAUCGUGGUGGGAGACAGUGUCAGGCGGGCAGUUUGACUGGGGCGGUCGCCUCCUAAAAGGUAACGGAGGCGCUCAAAGGUUCCCUCAGAAUGGUUGGAAAUCAUUCAUAGAGUGUAAAGGCAUAAGGGAGCUUGACUGCGAGACCUACAAGUCGAGCAGGGUCGAAAGACGGACUUAGUGAUCCGGUGGUUCCGCAUGGAAGGGCCAUCGCUCAACGGAUAAAAGCUACCCCGGGGAUAACAGGCUUAUCUCCCCCAAGAGUUCACAUCGACGGGGAGGUUUGGCACCUCGAUGUCGGCUCAUCGCAUCCUGGGGCUGUAGUCGGUCCCAAGGGUUGGGCUGUUCGCCCAUUAAAGCGGUACGCGAGCUGGGUUCAGAACGUCGUGAGACAGUUCGGUCCCUAUCCGUCGUGGGCGUAGGAAAUUUGAGAGGAGCUGUCCUUAGUACGAGAGGACCGGGAUGGACAUACCUCUGGUGUACCAGUUGUCGUGCCAACGGCAUAGCUGGGUAGCUAUGUGUGGACGGGAUAAGUGC